rnacentral:rRNA from 1 species
GUUAGGAAUAUUGGACAAUGGGCGAAAGCCUGAUCCAGCCAUGCCGCGUGAACGAUGAAGGCCUUCGGGUUGUAAAGUUCUUUAGCCGAUGAUUAUAAUGACUGUAGUCGGAAAAUAAGACCCGGCUAACUUCGUGCCAGCAGCCGCGGUAAUACGAAGGGGGCGGGCGUUAUUCGGAAUCACUGGGCGUAAAGCGUGCGUAGGCGGUUUUGUAAGUUAGAAGUGAAAGCCCAGGGCUCAACCUUGGAAUUGCUCUUAAAACUGCAAGGCUCGAAUCUCGGAGAGGAUAGCGGAAUUUCCAGUGGAGCAGUGAAAUGCGUAGAUAUUGGAAGGAACACCAGUGGCGUAAGCGGCUAUCUGGACGAGUAUUGACGCUGAGGCACGAAAGCGUGGGGAUCAAACAGGAUUAGAUACCCGGGUAGUCC